AUUUAGUGCAGAAAGUGAUGAAACAUUUAAAUAUAAGUAAGAAUCAACUAAAAAUCCGAAGAUAGAAACUGAGAAGAGACCUCUUUGGGUCAAUCAAAAAGUUGUAUCCAAAAUCUGCCCUUGCUCGUUAUGGUAUUAGCCCAAAAUUUCCAAUCAGAUAUACUAUUAUCUAUUGGAGUUACUGAUAUGGAAAAAAAUUAUAUUUCUUCUAUUGUGAUAUAUGCAGACCUUAACCAUUAUGGGGGGAAUACGUGUCUAGAUUUAGUCUUGUCUGAAAGCAAAAAAUAUAACUUUUUCCCGUUUCUUGUAACAUGCUCUUCACCACAUUAUUUGGAUGCCAUAUAUUUAAAGCCAUAGAUGUGUUGAUUCUGAUUUUGCUCCGAUUGUGCACCAUGCAGGGGUUCCAUCAAUUGAUGUGUAUUAUGGAAGAUGUACAUACCUCAAUAAGAUGAACUAGAGGGUUCUCUAUGACUUGUGGAAAAGUUAUGCCAUGUGGUUGUUGCUGUCCUUCGCCUUGCCGAUGAUUCCAUCAUACCUUUUGAUUAUCUUCCUUACCUGAAUCAGUUACAGUGUGCUUAGAAGAGGCAAACAGAUGGUUCCUCAAUAAACAUUGGUCAAGAAGACUAAGCCACUGAUCAAGGAGUCCAAUGUGCUCUGUUUCUGCUUCUGCUGUUUCAAGUGUCAUGCCGCGUAAGGGUAUGCCAAUAAAAGGAAGAGGGGCUGGAGCAGUCAAUAAAAAAAGCAAGUGUCAUUCUGACUCACUGUUUCCUGGCUUUGUUUAUGGUAUAUCUUGAGAACUGUCUAAUAUGUAUUUUUGGUGCUGUACAUCCAUUGGCAAGUGGGAACAUUUGUCAGCAUGGUGUAUGAUGAAGUGGAAGCAA